AUAAGUAAUGUGAAUUGCAGAAUUCAGUGAAUCAUCGAAUCUUUGAACGCACCUUGCGCUCCUUGGUAUUCCGAGGAGCAUGCCUGUUUGAGUGUCAUUAAAUUCUCAACCUUUAUCUUGACUGAUAAAUGGCUUGGACUUGGAGGUUUGCCGGCAAAAGUCAGCUCCUCUUAAAAGUAUUAGCUGGUUGCCUUGUGUAAACUUGUCUAUUGGUGUGAUAAUUAUCUACGCCGUGGGCUGUUUACAAGCACUGCCUCUAACCGUCUUUUUGACAAUCCUAAKGACAAUUUGACCUCAAAUCAGGUAGGACUACCCGCUGAACUUAAGCAUAUCAUUAAGCGGAGGAAAAGAAACUAACAAGGAUUCCCCUAGUAACUGCGAGUGAAGCGGGAAAAGCUCAAAUUUAAAAUCUGGCAGCCUUCGGUUGUCCGAGUUGUAAUCUAGAGAAGUGUUAUCCGCGCUGGACCGUGUACAAGUCUCCUGGAAUGGAGCGUCAUAGAGGGUGAGAAUCCCGUCUUUGACACGGACUGCCAGGGCUUUUGUGAUGCGCUCUCAAAGAGUCGAGUUGUUUGGGAAUGCAGCUCAAAAUGGGUGGUAAAUUCCAUCUAAAGCUAAAUAUUGGCGAGAGACCGAUAGCGAACAAGUACCGUGAGGGAAAGAUGAAAAGAACUUUGGAAAGAGAGUUAAACAGUACGUGAAAUUGCUGAAAGGGAAACGCUUGAAGUCAGUCGCGUUGUCUGGGAAUCAACCUUGCUUUUGCUGGGCUUACUUUCCAGAUAAUGGGUCAGCAUCAAUUUUGAUCGUUGGAUAAAGUCGGGAGGAAUGUGGCAUCUUCGGGUGUGUUAUAGCCUCUUGUCGCAUACAACGGUUGGGAUUGAGGAACUCAGCACGCCGAAAGGCCGGGUACUUGUACCACGUUCGUGCUUAGGAUGCUGGCAUAAUGGCUUUAAUCGACCCGUCUUGAAACACGGACCAAGGAGUCUAACAUGCCUGCGAGUAUUUGGGUGGAAAACCCGAGUGCGCAAUGAAAGUGAAAGUUGAGAUCCCUGUCAUGGGGAGCAUCGACGCCCGGACCAGACCUUUUGUGACGGAUCUGCGGUAGAGCAUGUAUGUUGGGACCCGAAAGAUGGUGAACUAUGCCUGAAUAGGGUGAAGCCAGAGGAAACUCUGGUGGAGGCUCGUAGCGAUUCUGACGUGCAAAUCGAUCGUCAAAUUUGGGUAUAGGGGCGAAAGACUAAUCGAACCA
rnacentral:rRNA from 1 species